UUUCCCUCAUCGUAGCAAAAGGUCUCAGCUGACAUCACAUAUGUGUUCAAGGCAGGAAGAAAAGGGGAAGAAAGGAUAGUGCCAAACCUGACUCUUAUAUUUAUUAGGAAAGUGAAACUUUCCUCCAAGGCCCCUGCCUGACUUCCCUUGACAGGUCAUUACCAGAACUGGGUCUCAUGGUCUGUUAGUCAAUUUUCUGUCACUGCAACAAUUAUCUGAGUCAUUGUUGUUCCUGGGAACCUAAUGGAAUGGGCUCUUCCCUGAAAGCACUGGAGAAGAUCACUGUUUCCACUGGAUUCCCGCUGUGAGCAGAGCUCAGCAAGCACCACAGACGCCCAUGCGCUCUGGAGGCUGGAAGUUCCAGACGAGGCUGUCAGCAUGUUGGGGCUCUGGUGAAGGCCGUCUUCUGGGUUGCAGACUGCCCGCUUCUCCCGGUAUCUUCACAUGGCUGAUAGAAGGAGAGCCAUAGAGAGAGAGACACACAUAAGGUAGAAGCCAUGUGAAGGUGGAGACAGGAUUGGAGUUAGGCUGCUCGAGGGCCAGGGAUGCCAAGGGUUGCUGGCAAUGACCAGAAGUUACAAGAAGAAAGAAGAAAUUAUCCUCACGAGACUUGGGAGGGAACAUGACCCUGUUGAGACUUUGAUUUUCAACUUCUUGUCUCCACAACUGUGGGAGAAUACAUUUCUUUUAUUUUAAGCCCUUUGGUUUGUGGUGGUUUGUUAUGACAGCCAUAGAAACGAAAUCUACCUGCUAUUCUCCA